GGGCCGGUAGCUCAGCCUGGAUUAGAGCACUUGCCUUUUAAGCAAGUGGUCGCGGGUUCAAAUUUAGGCUAUGAAAAUAGUCUGUUGGAUGUCCCGUCCGGCCCA
rnacentral:tRNA from 1 species